rnacentral:rRNA from 1 species
GACGAACGCUGGCGGCGUGCUUAACACAUGCAAGUCGAGCGGAAAGGCCAUGCUUUUGUUGCGUGCUCGAGUGGCGAACGGGUGAGUGACACAUGAGUAACCUGCCCUUGACUUUGUGAUAACUUCAGGAAACUGGGGCUCAUACCGGAUAGGAGCUCCUGCUGCAUGUUGGUGGAUAGUGAGAUUCGGCGGUUGGGGAUGGUCUCGCUGCUUAUCAGCUUGUUGGGGGGGUAGUGGCUUACCAGGGCUAUGACGGCUAGCCGGCCUGGGAGGGUGACCGGGGACAUGGGUACUGAGAGACGGCCCAGACUGCAACCGGACGCAGCAGGGGAGAAUAUUGCACAAUGGGGGCAAGUCUGAGGUAGCAACGCCGCGUGCGGGAUGACGGCUUUCGGGUUGUAAACCGCUGUCGACGUAAAUGAAGAGGGAGUGACGGUAAUGGGUAAAGAAGCACCGGCUAACUACGUG